rnacentral:rRNA from 1 species
GACGAACGCUGGCGGCGUGCUUAACACAUGCAAGUCGAACGGAAAGGCCCUGCUUUUGUGGGGUGCUCGAGUGGCGAACGGGUGAGUAACACGUGAGUAACCUGCCCUUGACUUUGGGAUAACUUCAGGAAACUGGGGCUAAUACCGGAUAGGAGCUCCCGCUGCAUGGUGGGGGUUGGAAAGUUUCGGCGGUUGGGGAUGGACGCGCGGCUUAUCAGCUUGUUGGUGGGGUAGUGGCUUACCAAGGCUUUGACGGGUAGCCGGCCUGGGAGGGUGACCGGCCACAUUGGGACUGAGAUACGGCCCAGACUCCUACGGGAGGCAGCAGUGGGGAAUAUUGCACAAUGGGCGGGAGCCUGAUGCAGCAACGCCGCGUGCGGGAUGGCGGCCUUCGGGUUGUAAACCGCUUUCGCCUAUGACGAAGCGUGAGUGACGGUAAUGGGUAAAGAAGCACCGGCUAACUACGUG